GGAGGGGCUAUAGCUCAGUGGUAGAGGAUCUGCCUUGCUUGAAGAAGUUCCCAUGUUCAAAUCCCUGGCCUCUCCA